GAUUUCAACUGAAAAAGUCAUCAAUAACAAAAUUGUAUAACUCAUCAAGAUCUAUAACUUCUAUUUUGGUCAUUUCUUCAUCCGACAAAGUGAUUUGUAAGAUUGUUCAUAAAAUGUACAUCUCUUAUAUAAUCUUGCAAAAACUAUAUAAGAGAUGUACAUUUGUGAACAAUCUUGCAAAUUACUUUGUCGGAUGACGAAAUGGCCAAAAUGAAAGUUAUAGAUCUUGAUGAGUUAUACAACUUUGUUAUUGAUGACUUUUUCAAAUGAAAUC
rnacentral:pre_miRNA from 1 species